AAAAAAUCACAAAUUUUAUUAAUUUUAUUGUUGUGUCUAAUAUAGAAACAACUUGUGUUGUAAAAGAAAAGAUGACAGCAUAUCUCUUUAAAACGUGCCAGUAUAGGCCCUGACUGCACGCGAGAACAUUUGAAUUAUCUGGCACGAGGCCUCACACGUCAUACUUCAACUGACACAACGGUCUCGAUGGUAGGAACAAGCAAAAGCUCCUUUAAAUUUCGUCAUUUUUUAUACACAUCCUGUUUAUUUUGUAGUUAAUUGUUAGAUAAGUUAGUAAUUUCGUCAAGUUUUCGUUACAAGGUAAGAUUUCGUUACCAUAUACAGUAAAUAUUGGUUCAAGAGGGCAGUUUGAUAACUCAUUCGAGGUUUGUAAAUGGGGUUUCUGUUCCUGCAGUCUUUCAGCGGUGCUGCCGCGUAUGACGAUGCGGACAUGAACAGCACACUACAGUAUACCGCCACCUACUCCUUUAAACAUCUAAACAUGUCCUCCAAAAAGGAAAAGGGAAAAAACAUUGGAAAACAAUUUUAGCCUAAGGUUUCCUGUGCUGUUUUGCUCCAUUUUACUGAACAAAAUAAGGCUGAGGUAGCACCAUCCUUGUGGUUAGAGUGAAAGAACGUGUGUAUUGAGACCAAAAUAAACAAUGUGCCAUUCUGGACAAACAGCUGUGGACAAUAUAUGCAGUCAGAGUAGCCUAUUUUCUCACACAGACCUGAAGAUAAGAUUUCCAGUUUAAAAGUGAAGAAAAUGAAUCAUUAUUAACAGCAAUUAGGAGUAUUUCUCAGCUGAAAAGCCAGUUUAUGCACAAUCACAAAUGCAGCACAUCAAUCAAUUUCUUCCAACCAGCGAAUCAAGAAAUCUUGGAGUGGAGAAUCAUUCUGAAAGUAGACCAAAUCCAGGACAACAUCACAGCAGUGGUCGGAAAAAUGCAGCAAGCCAAGCUGACUUUCAAAAGAUGAUUCGUUAUCUGUUUCUUCAGAGGGGAGGCAGUUUGGGAGAUGGGAAUUAGGAGGAUGCUACAGUUACACAGGGCGAAUUUCAGCAGCUCAGUUUCAAACUUGCAACUAACAAUGAAUUAUAUUAGAAGACCACGGAAAUAUUUGACAUCGGAGUCCAGCAGACAGCCAGAGACACGCACACACACGCAGCUGAAGCGCGUGACGCGUACGGGAGAUCCGGCACGCGCACGGGAGCUUGCGCACGCUCACACAAACACGGAGCACAGGAUAAUUACAACUGUUUAAUUAAAAAUAAAAGAACUUUGUUGUAUACAA